rnacentral:rRNA from 1 species
UACAGAGGGGGCAAGCGUUGUUCGGAAUUACUGGGCGUAAAGGGCGCGUAGGCGGCCUUCUAAGUCGAACGUGAAAUCCCCGGGCUCAACCCGGGAACUGCGUCCGAUACUGGAAGGCUUGAAUCCGGGAGAGGGAUGCGGAAUUCCAGGUGUAGCGGUGAAAUGCGUAGAUAUCUGGAGGAACACCGGUGGCGAAGGCGGCAUCCUGGACAGUGACUGACGCUGAGACGCGAAAGCGUGGGGAGCAAACAGG